UACGUAGGGUGCAAGCGUUGUCCGGAAUUAUUGGGCGUAAAGAGCUCGUAGGCGGUUUGUCGCGUCUGCUGUGAAAACCCGAGGCUCAACCUCGGGCCUGCAGUGGGUACGGGCAGACUAGAGUGCGGUAGGGGAGAUUGGAAUUCCUGGUGUAGCGGUGGAAUGCGCAGAUAUCAGGAGGAACACCGAUGGCGAAGGCAGCCCCCUGGGCCAAAACUGACGCUCAGGCACGAAAGCGUGGGGAGCAAACAGG
rnacentral:rRNA from 1 species